rnacentral:rRNA from 1 species
UACAGAGGGUGCAAGCGUUAAUCGGAAUUACUGGGCGUAAAGCGCACGUAGGCGGCGUCGUACGUCGGGUGUGAAAGCCCCGGGCUCAACCUGGGAAUUGCAGUGGGGACUGCAAUGCUGGAGUACGGAAGAGGAGGGCGGAAUUCCCGGUGUAGCGGUGAAAUGCGCAGAUAUCGGGAGGAACACCAGUGGCGAAGGCGGCCCUCUGGGCCAGUACUGACGCUCAAGUGCGAAAGCGUGGGGAGCGAACAGG